CACCCCUGGCAACGGCCAGAAAGACACCUGGUUGACGCUGUUGUUCUUUUAUCAAUUAGGGGCAGAGCAAACGGCAGUCCUUUGUUCAUCCAAGCUUGAUGUCUAGCAUGGUGGCCAAAGCUAUCUUAUGCCUAGGACUCAUAA